rnacentral:rRNA from 1 species
UACAGAGGGUGCGAGCGUUAAUCGGAAUUACUGGGCGUAAAGGGCGCGUAGGCGGAUUAGUAAGUGUGAUGUGAAAGCCCUGGGCUUAACCUAGGAAGUGCAUCGCAAACUGUUAAUCUGGAGUAGAUGAGAGGGUGGCGGAAUUUCCGGUGUAGCGGUGAAAUGCGUAGAGAUCGGAAGGAACGUCAAUGGCGAAGGCAGCCACCUGGCAUCAUACUGACGCUGAGGCGCGAAAGCGUGGGGAGCGAACAGG